CAGGAUUUCAUACUGAGCUUUGACUGUCCCUUGCCAUUAAUCAUCAACAGCGAUGCAGAUCUUAAAAUCAGGGCCUUAAAAUUUUUUCUGUGAGUGGUUACACCACAGAUAAGUCCAGUCACACAAUAUGUUUGGAAGUGCCUGCAGUGAAUUUAUCAGGUGAUCUGGACUCUUGAGUGGUCUUGGUUGCUGUCACUGGAUCUCACUAUUCCAUGGGGCACAGCCUGGAGAACCAUCCUGUGGCUGAC